UCUCCGUAGGUGAACCUGCGGAGGGAUCAUUACCGAGCUCAUGCCCUUACGGGCAGAUCUCCCACCCUGUGUUAUUAUUACCUUUGUUGCUUUGGCGGGCCGCCAGGCUCCGGUCAGGCUAUCGGCUUCGGCUGGUAAGCGCCCGCCAGAGGACCCUAUAUCCUGAUUAUUAGUGUCGUCUGAGUACUAUAUAAUAGUUAAAACUUUCAACAACGGAUCUCUUGGUUCUG
rnacentral:misc_RNA from 1 species